UACGUAGGGUGCGAGCGUUGUCCGGAAUUAUUGGGCGUAAAGAGCUCGUAGGCGGUGUGUCACGUCGUUCGUGAAAACCUGCAGCUUAACUGUGGGCGUGCGGUCGAUACGGGCAUCACUGGAGUUCGGCAGGGGAGACUGGAAUUCCAGGUGUAGCGGUGAAAUGCGUAGAUAUCUGGAGGAAUACCGGUGGCGAAGGCGGCAUCCUGGACCGAGAUUGACACUGAUGAGCGAAAGCUAGGGGAGCAAACGGG
rnacentral:rRNA from 1 species